CGGGCGCCACAGAAGAUGGCCGCCGGGGCCGCCCUGGCGCCGCCGGGGGGCGGUGGCGGCCGCCUUCUGCCGGCCUCCCAGGGGGAGCGGGCGGCCCCUGGGUGCCGGGGCGGCUCCCGGUGCUCGUCCCACCCGAGAGGAGCCCGUGGGGGCGGCGGCGGCGGCGCUGCUGGAGGCGGAUCGGGGUGCGGGCGGGCGGCGGGGCUGGGUCGUGGCGGCAGCGGCAGCCCGCCCGCCGCCGCCAUGAGCGGGGCGCCGGCCGCCGGCUGGUCCCCGCUGCCGGCCCAGGCCGCCUCGCUGCUGGAGGAGGCGGCCGACCUGCUGGUGCUGCACCGCGACUUCGCCGCCGCCCUGGAGCGCUGUGAGGCGGGCUGCAGCAGCCUGGAGCUCGGCAGCGGCACCGGCAGCGGCCCCGAGAGUCCUGCAGAGGUGAAGUGCUCCCUCUGUGUGGUGGGCAUCCAGGCGCUGGCUGAGAUGAACCGCUGGAGAGAAGUGCUGUCGUGGCUCCUGCGGUAUUACCAGUUCCCUGGGCACCUGCCUCCCAAGAUCCUGGAGCUGUGUAUCCUGUUGUAUAGCAAAGUGGGAGAGCCCCAGGUGAUGCUGGAGGUCGGCACUACCUGGCUGAGAAACCUAAGCAAUAAGAGACUUCCUGAGUACAGUUCGUUGAUGGAGCUUUAUCUGCUGCAUGUGUUGCUUCCACUUGGCCAAUUUAAGGCGGCAGAAGAGCUUGUAGACAGCUGUGAUGUUCUAAACAGUGAGCAGAAGCUGGCAUUUCUCAAGACCAUUUGUGAUAGCCAAUGUCAGUGGACUCAACAGGAAGAGAUGCACUCAACCGAUGAAGAGGAGCAAGACAAAGCAACAGAGACUGUUUUGGUGUGGUUAUGUAGCAGUGGUGUCCUUUUACCAGUGAGAUGGCAACCAAAGCCAUUUAUGGAACACAUCCUUAAGCGAGUGCUCUGUCCCAAAAGCUCUUAACUAUGUUGACGUUGCUACGAAGAGCACUGAGGUCCAUGUCAAGCCACUUCUAUUUACUUCCUUACAAAAAGAUGCUCUUGGCUACUUUUCUGCUGUACCUUGUGGUAGUGAGAUUAGAUCCAGCUUCUCCCACAUCAUUGCCAUUCCUUUGCAAACUGGUCCAGCUCUUCCGACAGGCUUGGGCAGCUGUAUUGUCUCCAAUUCAUAGGCCUCCAAUUCGAGAUUAAGUGUAUUCCACCACAGAACAUGUUCUUCUCUGCUGCUGCGGAAGUGUCAGCUUGUCUCAAGGACUUCGUGAGGCUCUGUUGAGAUCUGUGCCCUAAUGGAGAUGACCACCUGUAAACUCCUGCUUAGCAGUACCUUCCUUUCUUCAGCCAGGGAACAGUGGUAUAGGAAUUUUGAAACCAUGCCAAGUAUCCCUGACGUUUUCUUGUCUAUUAAGCUCCAGUCUGUCCAGCUCUAGGGUAAAGCCAUGCCUUCCAUAAUCUACAACUGAUGAAGGCGCUCAUUUGGAUGUAGCUCUUGAGUGCGAGUUGUAUGGACAGUUAGGAAGCAGGAUGCCUGAGAUGUUCUGGAAGAAGGUUCCAUCCUUGCAAUACUGGGCGGUUCACUUAACAACUGAAAUCACAUCCCUGGAAGCAUGGCUGUGAAAGGCAGAGGAGUACCAGUAAUUAGGGAAACACUCUGUUUUGCCUGGAGACAUCUAAAAUGCCCAGUUCAUCCAGCACGGGAUGUAGGACAAGCCUGUGGAAGAAAAACGCUGCAGAAAACAAAGCCUGUUGCAGUUUGAACACUGUAGUUUCUCUUGUGACUGAUACCUCCUCAUACAGGCGCCCUUGAUUUUAGUCAUUUCUAAGCCAGAAAACCUAGGUGGUGUGCCACAAAUCCUGUUGUGCUGCACCUGCUGUUCUUAAAUGCAAAUGACAGUGCUUUGUGCUUGCCUGAUGGGCAGUAAUCCUUAGGAGCACGUGGCGGUGGUAAGGAAAUAGGUUUAUUUUUUUAAACUGUAUUCCAUAUUAUUGUCUAGUUGAACAACAACAACGGAAGUUGUUGCAUUGUUUUACUCUUUCCAUACCUCUGGCUUUGUUUAUGUAGAUGUCAGAAAGUCUCUGUGUGUCCAGAACCCAUCUUCCCACCCCUACAUCUAAAGUCCUGAUUUACAUGGUAACCAUUUAGCAAUGUCCUAUCAUUCGCAACAAAACUUAUUAAAAGGUAGACAGAGAUUUCUCCGAGAUCCCCAAGCCUUCCCAAAACUGUAGCAAGAAAAUUGCUGUAUUUGCAGGCAGUUUGUUAGCAGACUGACCCCAUUUUUGACCACCUGGAGCAGAGACUGGAGACUGGCAGUAAAACGAUUGAUUUCUUUUCCAUCCACCUAUCAUAGAUUGACAAUGAGUAAUGCCAAAGGAGAGAGUGCAGAUUAUUUAAAUAGUGCUUCUGCUGAAGCAGUGUGUGAAGUGUGCUGGAAAGAAUAACUUAGAGGCACGGAGUCAUUGUGGCAAACAUAGGCAGCCUUCCUAGCAUCUGUGCCAAGAGGAUUCGGGCUCAUUGGCAUGAGUCAAAAUGGUAAAAUGGGGAACAAAGCCACUGUUCUGGCAGGCAAAUCCUAUCCAACACACCAAACUUGGGAAAAGUAGCCUAUAUGCAUGCCACUGCAGUGUAUUACAACAGUAGCCCCCUUCAAGUGGAUUGUUUGUCUCUAGCAAUAGCUAUAUGCUGAGGUGGCAGCUCAGCUAUUGCUGUUUUAUUUACAAGGAGGGCAGCCUGCCGGUGUCAUCGUGCUGUGUGUGCUCUGCUAAAGUAAUAUUGUCAAGUUCUUCUUGAGUUAUCCCAAUAGAGAUAAGUGAGAUAAAGCGGGGUAGGUCACCCAUGAAUGCAGAAAACAGUAAUCACCUUGCCUAGGUUGUAUCUACUGACCACUUUGUAAGGCCUUGCUCUACAUACUUUAAGCUAAUAAAAUAGUAAACUUCCCUCCGAAGUCAGGCCAAAUUGUUAACAACACUUGACUGUUUACCUAAAAAACAUUUGUUUGCUCUAGAUUUCAAUUAAUGCUUUCAGUUAAAUGGCAGAGCUGCCCGUUUUGGGGGCUUGGGAUCAGUGGUCUGCACAGACCGUACAUAACUUUUUUAAAUUCUGAUAAAUAUCUCAGCCACUCAUUAACCAGAACUUUAACCUUCAACUUGAUUUUAAUUGUAGGUUAGCAACUUCCACUUCUCUUGAGUACUGCUGAUUUUGCAUUUGUAUUGUAUUUGGUUCGUCAUGAGAGGGAAGAAGGCAGAAAUGAGCAAUCUGUUUUUUUUUUUGUUGUUAUGUUUUGUUUUGUUUUUGGUUUUGCAAUUAAUAGUAAGCCUGCAACAUUUAAUUUUCACAAUAAAAUGACUAAUUAUUUACCUCA